UGGAACUUGGGGCAACUAUGGUUUGACUUGGUCCAAUUGCACUUGUCCCGGCCUGC
rnacentral:pre_miRNA from 1 species